rnacentral:misc_RNA from 1 species
UUCCUUAACACUGUUGCCAUUGUUUACAGUGCAACUGCAGCAUUGCCUUUCGGCACCAUUGUGGUAAUACUCCUUAUAUGGACGUUAGUAACGUCACCAUUGCUUGUGUUGGGUGGUAUCGCUGGAAAAAACAGCAAGGCUGAAUUUCAAGCCCCCUGCCGAACCACAAAAUAUCCUCGCGAGAUCCCACAAUUGCCUUGGUACAGGAG